rnacentral:rRNA from 1 species
CAGCCCUUGACAUGCCCGGCUAGCUACAGAGAUGUAGUGUUCCCUUCGGGGACCGGGACACAGGUGCUGCAUGGCUGUCGUCAGCUCGUGUCGUGAGAUGUUGGGUUAAGUCCCGCAACGAGCGCAACCCUCGCCCUUAGUUGCCAGCAUUCAGUUGGGCACUCUAAGGGGACUGCCGGUGAUAAGCCGAGAGGAAGGUGGGGAUGACGUCAAGUCCUCAUGGCCCUUACGGGCUGGGCUACACACGUGCUACAAUGGUGGUGACAGUGGGCAGCGAAGGAGCGAUCCCGAGCUAAUCUCCAAAAGCCAUCUCAGUUCGGAUUGCACUCUGCAACUCGAGUGCAUGAAGUUGGAAUCGCUAGUAAUCGCGGAUCAGCACGCCGCGGUGAAUACGUUCCC